GUUAUUGCAUGUUUUGGGGUCCCUGUGUGUUUUAUGAAACUAUUAUUUCUGACCAGCAGAUAAUUGAGCUUUGUGUAUUGUAGAAACUCAAUUAUCUAGCCUGGCCCAGAGGAGGAGUUUUGUGUUGCAUAAAUUGUGAGUUCUGUGUGCCAGUAAAUCAGUCUUGUUCCAGCAUUAAGCCUUGGCUCAUGUUUGGGGGAAGGGAUACCUACACUCUGGGGAUU